GAUGAACGCUGGCGGCGUGCCUAAUACAUGCAAGUCGAGCGAACGGACGAGAAGCUUGCUUCUCUGAUGUUAGCGGCGGACGGGUGAGUAACACGUGGAUAACCUACCUAUAAGACUGGGAUAACUUCGGGAAACCGGAGCUAAUACCGUAUAAUAUUUUGAACCGCAUGGUUCAAAAGUGAAAGACGGUCUUGCUGUCACUUAUAGAUGGAUCCGCGCUGCAUUAGCUAGUUGGUAAGGUAACGGCUUACCAAGGCAACGAUGCAUAGCCGACCUGAGAGGGUGAUCGGCCACACUGGAACUGAGACAGGGUCCAGACUCCUACGGGAGGCAGCAGUAGGGAAUCUUCCGCAAUGGGCGAAAGCCUGACGGAGCAACGCCGCGUGAGUGAUGAAGGUCUUCGGAUCGUAAAACUCUGUUAUUAGGGAAGAACAUAUGUGGAAGUAACUGUGCACAUCUUGACGGUACCUAAUCAGAAAGCCACGGCUAACUACGUG
rnacentral:rRNA from 1 species